rnacentral:rRNA from 1 species
GACGAACGCUGGCGGCGUGCCUAAUACAUGCAAGUAGGACGCAGUUGCGAACGGGUGAGUAACGCGUAGGUAACUACCUAUUAGAGGGGGAUAACUAUUGGAAACGAUAGCUAAUACCGCAUACUAGUAGAUGGACCUGCGUUGUAUUAGCUAGUAGGUAGGGUAAUGGCCUACCUAGGCAACGAUACAUAGCCGAACGGGGAAGGGGAUCGGCCAAAAUUGGACUGGGACAAGGCCCAGACUCCUACGGGAGGGAGCAGUAGGGAAUCCUCGGCAAAUGGGGGAAACCUUACCGAGCAACGCCCGGGUAGGUAAGAAGGUUUUCGGAUCGGAAAGCUCUGUUGUUAAGGAAGCGGUACUUAACCAGAAAGGGACGGCUAACUACGUGCCAGCAGCCGCGGUAAUUC